CAAUAAGCGGAGGAAAAGAAACUAACAAGGAUUCCCCUAGUAACUGCGAGUGAAGCGGGAAGAGCUCAAAUUUUAAAUCUGGCAGUCUCUUGGCUGUCCGAGUUGUAAUCUAGAGAAGCAUUUUCCGCGCUGGACCGUGUAUAAGUCUCCUGGAAGGGAGCGUCAUAGAGGGUGAGAAUCCCGUCUUUGACAUGGACUACCAGUGCUAUGUGAUGUGCUCUCGACGAGUCGAGUUGUUUGGGAAUGCAGCUCAAAAUGGGUGGUAAAUUCCAUCUAAAGCUAAAUACAGGCGAGAGACCGAUAGCGAACAAGUACCGUGAGGGAAAGAUGAAAAGAACUUUGGAAAGAGAGUUAAACAGUACGUGAAAUUGCUGAAAGGGAAACGCUUGAUGUCAGUCACGUUGGCUGGGGAUCAACCUUGCUUCUCGCUGGGUGUACUUCCCGGUCGAUGGGUCAGCAUCAGUUUUGGUUGCCGUACAAGGGCGAGGGGAAUGUGGCACUCCUCGGAGUGUGUUAUAGCCUUUUGUCGUAUGCGGUGGUCAGGACUGAGGAGCUCAGCAUGGCUUUGGCUUGUGCUUAGGAUGCUGGCAUAAUGGCCUUAAGCGACCCGUCUUGAAACACGGACCAAGGAGUCUAACAUGCCUGCGAGUGUUUGGGUGGCAAACCCGAGCGCGUAAUGAAAGUGAAAGUUGAGACCUCUGUCAUGGAGGGCAUCGACGCCCGGACCUGAGUCUUUGACGACGGAUCUGCGGUAAAGCAUGCAUGUUGGGACCCGAAAGAUGGUGAACUAUGCCUGAAUAGGGUGAAGCCAGAGGAAACUCUGGUGGAGGCUCGUAGCGAUUCUGACGUGCAAAUCGAUCGUCGAAUUUGGGUAUAGGGGCAAAGACUAAUCGAC
rnacentral:rRNA from 1 species